CCCCCCCCGUGCUCAAUGGAGCCCCCGCCCCCCGACCCCACCUCGCCGCCGGCGACCGGCUCCCCCGCCGCCGCUGAGGGCUCCUCCCCGUCCCCGGGAGGCGGCGAUGGCGAGGCGGCGGAGGGCGGGUUCAGCGCGGGGCUGGAGCCGCUCUGGUCGCUCCUUUUCGGCGACCCCGAGGAGCUGGAGCCCAUGUGGUCGCCGCCCAGGGACUUCGGCGUCGGCGCGGGGUUCGCGGCCCCGGAGCCGGACGCCGACGAGGGCGACGCCGAGGGGCCCUGGGACGGCGCGCCGUGGCGCUCCACCGGGAUCGUCGCCGGCGAGGGCGCGGCCGCCGCGUUCCCGGAGUUCGACCCCGCCGCGGAAGCUUCCACGGGAGGGGCCGCGCCAGAGGUGAGGCCGCUCGAUUAUUCCGCCCCCGAUUCUGCUUCGCCGGUGCCGCCGUGCUCCCAAGCUCCGGUGCCUUUAGAGGUGCGUGCGCCCGAGCUGGUCCCCGGCUGGGACGAGCCUGCGCUACCGCCCGCAGCGGCUUCUUCGGAAGCCAAACUAGAGGAGUGCACCCUCAACUCGGUGCCAUCGCCGCCGGCCCCGCCUUCUCGGGAUGAUCCUGAUUUGGGGGCAGAGGACGGGUCCUCCCCGCAGAAAAUCACCUCGGGAGCCAUGGUGGUUGUUGGUCUGACUGCGGUGGAACGUCCUGAGGUCAAUGCAGCUAGCUGCAGUAUGCCAGAUGUUGUUGGCAGAGAUCGCACACCUCUCCGGAGGUCCCCGAGGAUUGUGGCAGCCAAGGCCAAAGCAUAUGCCGCGUCUCUGGAACGGAAUGCUGACUCAUCUAGAGCUUCCAAGCUCCGGUUAGCAGUUUCUGGGCGGAGCAGCAUCAGUGAAGGGAGCCUACUUGAGGAGACGACCACAGUUGACUUGCUCGAUGGGGUGAAGCAGCAAGGAUCACGAGAGAUUGUUGCAGUGCAGAGCUCCUCUAUCACUGUUGUGGUGGCUUUACCUGUGGUGAACAAAAGGACCUUGAAGAACAAAGCAGUGCCCGUGUCCUCUCCAAGGAAGACUAGAUCAGCCUCAAAGGUAUUAGUGAAUUCCAACAGGGUCUCAGCUGUCUCGCCAGCAAUGAAUUGUGGGCCUGUGAACAAAGCAGGUUCUCAUAUACCUCCUAGGAAGCACAAGCUUGCUUCUGAGAAAUGCUUGCCCAGUUUGGAGAGAGUGGAUGCUGUGUUACAUAACUCUGGGUUAGUGAGUGCUAAUAAAGUUGAGAUGCCCCUAGAGCUCCAGGCAGCAGCAUCUCAACCUCCAAAGGCAAAAAGGGCCAGGGUAUCCUCAGGGAAAUGCUCAUCCAACUUGAGGAGGGCAGAGAACAAUAAUACCUCAAUCUGCAAACUGCCAAUGGUCACGGUGACCUCAGAUCCAGAGGAUAAGCCUAAACUUAUAUUGGAUAAGUAUUCUAUUGAUUCUGAAAUGGUGGAUGGCGAGGAUGGUUCCUGUUUCUUUAUGGGUGAGGCAGUGCCUGACGAGGAGGCUAGGCAGAGGUGGCCUAACCGCUAUCAGAGCAAUCAUUGCCUUCUGAAGAAGGAUAAGUGGAGCAAUACCCAAACGUUUUCCAAUGCUGGCAAAGCUGUCUUCGAUGUCAAAUGUCACUAUUUGCAAGCUAGUGUAUGUGGAUCUACUUUAUGUAUUGGGGAUUGUGCAUUCAUUAAGGGUCCAGAAGGAAAACCACAUUAUAUUGGCAGGUUGUUAGAAUUCUUCGAAACGAGUGGAGGUGAAUAUUACUUCAGUGUGCAGUGGUUUUUCAGAUCUGAAGACACGGUCAUGGAAGACCAAGCACAGUCUCAUGACCCAAGGAGGCUCUUUUACUCAGACCUGAAGGACGACAAUUUACUAGACUGCAUUGUUUCUAAAGUGACCAUCGUGCAAGUUUCCCCUAGUGUAAAUGAAAAGUCUCGAUCAAUUCCUUCGUUUCACUAUUACUAUGACAUGAAGUACUCUCUGGAUUAUAGUACAUUCUCUACCAUGGAAAUGGGAAGUUCAAAUGACACAUUACAGUUACAUUACACUAGUAGCAGCAGCAACAGUGUGAAAAGGAUCGAUUCCACUGGAAGGCAGAAGUCUCCCACACCAGAGAUGGAGCUCUCUCUGUUAGAUCUGUACUGUGGUUGUGGGGGGAUGUCCACUGGACUUUGUUUUGGGGCUCGUGGUGGUGGUGUGAAUCUUAUAGCGAGAUGGGCUGUUGAUGGAGAUGAAGCUGCAUGUGAAAGCUUCAGACUGAAUCAUCCAGAAACUCGGGUCCGGAAUGAAACCACCGACGAUUUUCUUGAGUUGUUGAAGCAAUGGGAAAAACUGUGCAAAACUUAUGUGAAGCUUCGGAGUAAACUAAAGUCCCAUUCCAGCGAUUUAGCACAAUCCAGUAGAGAAACUCUAGAGUGUUCUACAGUUCCUCCUGAAGAAUUCGAAGUAUGGAAGCUAGUUGAUAUUUGCUUCGGGGAUCCAAAUGGUGUCGGAAAGCGUGGCUUAUACUUUAAGGUCCGUUGGAAAGGUUAUGGCCCUAAUGAUGACACAUGGGAGCCAAUUGAAGGCUUAAAGAACUGCAAAGAGGCAAUUAGGGAUUUUGUUAUUCAAGGGCAGAAGGAAAAAAUAUUACCGCUUCCUGGUGAUGCGGAUGUCAUAUGUGGGGGACCACCAUGCCAAGGCAUCAGUGGCUACAACCGCAAUAGAGAAUUUGAUGCACCAUUCAAAUGUGAGAGAAACAAGCAGAUUAUUGUCUUCAUGGAUGUAAUACAAUUUUUGAAGCCCAAAUACAUUUAUAUGGAAAAUGUCCUUGAUAUAUUGAAGUUUGCUGAUGCAACACUUGCAAGAUAUGCUUUAAGCCGGCUAGUUGCUAUGCAUUACCAAACAAAACUCGGGAUCAUGGCUGCUGGGUGUUAUGGCCUCCCACAAUUCCGAAUGCGUGUAUUUUUGUUGGGCUGUCAUCCUAAGGAGAAAUUACCCCCAUUUCCUCUUCCUACUCAUGAGGCAAUCGUGAAGAAUGGUUGCCCAUUGGCUUUCGAGGUGGCGAAUGGAGAAAAACGUGAAGAAAUGCUAUAUGUAAAGGGACCUCAGACGGAAUUCCAAAGAUACAUUCGGUCAUUUAAUUCUGGUUUGUUGAUUGCUUACAUUUGUAUAGAAGAAACUUGAAUGCUCUUUUCAUGUCAUGUUGAGUUGUAGGUUCUGAUGGCUAGAAAUAUCUAUUUUGUUCACUAUAGUAAUAUUGAGAUGACUGAUUCCAUUCUUGAGAGAUGAUAAUUAACUUGUAUGCUUUUGUAAUGGUCUUUUGCAUACAACUAAAGUUAUCUGAAAGACAAUUUAAUUGGUAUAAAUUGUGGGAUAUUAUUUGACAAAAUAAGUAUAAAGAUAGCUAAAAAUGAGACUUGAAACAACAUGUAUCAGAUAUGUUCCCUUGGUUUCUAUCUGCAUGCCACUACCACGGAAAUCAAUGUUAGAGUCAGCUUGGGUAUUUUGUGGACUAAAAGCUCUUUUUCUUUCUAUUUUUUCAAUUUUUUUGUGCUCACUGCUAUUUCUGAUUCUCAUAACCAUGUUUGUUGGCAUCACUUCGUGAUAGCUACGGUGCAAAACUCUCACAUGAAAUUGUCUUCCUCCCUGUCCAGAAGUGCUUGGAUCCAGAGCUCAUGUCACAGAAGUUUCCAGGUCAAAAUUGUAUGACCAUCGACCAAAAGCACUAGAUGAUGAUAACUACCUAAGAGUAUUGCAGAUUCCCAAGAAAAAGGUUGUCUGAGAUGCUUGUAUUUACGUAAAACUCUAUGUUAAAGAAACCUCUACAAUCUCAUCAGUCCUGUUUCAGGGAGCUAAUUUUAGAGACCUUCCGGGAGUCAUAGUAGGUCCAGACAAUGUAGCUAGAUUAGAUCCAACUAAGCAGAGAAUACUUUUGCCUUCUGGUAAUCCUCUGGUAAGAUGCUCGAGACAAACACCUCUGAGAUACACUAUACUUCUCUUUAGAUGUGAAUUUUGACAAAUUUCCCAAUUUACAUCAGGUAAUUGAUUGUGUGCUAACCUAUGAGCAUGGUAAAUCAUUAAGGUUGGUUUCAAUUUUUAUAGUAUUUAUAUGUUUUUGCAUUCAUGUUUUAGUGGUUCCUUUUGGUAAUAUGUUUCAGACCAUAUGGUCGACUGUGGUGGGAUGAGGUAGUUGGAACCGUGCUGACAUCUCCAAAUGCUCGCAUGCAGGCCUUAAUACAUCCUGCACAAGACAGACUGCUAACUAUUCGUGAAAGC